UACAGAGGGUGCGAGCGUUGUUCGGAUUUAUUGGGCGUAAAGAGCUCGUAGGCGGCUUGGCAAGUCGGGUGUGAAACCUCCAGGCUCAACCUGGAGACGCCACUCGAUACUGCCAUGGCUAGAGUCCGGUAGGGGACCACGGAAUUCCUGGUGUAGCGGUGAAAUGCGCAGAUAUCAGGAGGAACACCGGUGGCGAAGGCGGUGGUCUGGGCCGGCACUGACGCUGAGGAGCGAAAGCGUGGGUAGCAAACAGG
rnacentral:rRNA from 1 species